AGAAAAUGACUGAGCGGCGAACGGGUGAGUAACGCGUGAGCAACCUACCUUAGUUACUGGGAUAGCCCGAGGAAACUCGGAUUAAUACCGGAUAUUCUUAUUUAAUCACAUGAUUUUUUAAGGAAAGGUCAGCCGAACUAAGAUGGGCUCGCGUUCUAUCAGCUAGUUGGUGAGGUAAAAGCUCACCAAGGCAACGACGGAUAGCUGGUCUGAGAGGACGAUCAGCCACACUGGGACUGAGACACGGCCCAGACUCCUACGGGAGGCUGCAGCAGGGAAUAUUGCGCAAUGAGCGAAAGCUUGACGCAGCGACACCGCGUGUGGGAUGACGGAUCUAGGUUUGUAAACCACUUUCAGGAGGGAAGAAAAUGACGGUACCUCCACAAGAAGCCCCGGCCAACUACGUGCCAGCAGCCGCGGUAAUACGUAGGGGGCGAGCGUUGUCCGGAUUUAUUGGGCGUAAAGAGCUCGUAGGCGGUUCAACAAGUCGGUCGUAAAAGUUCAGGGCUCAACCCUGAAAUGUCGAUCGAUACUGUUGUGACUAGGAUACGGUAGAGGUGAGUGGAAUUCCGAGUGUAGCGGUGAAAUGCGUAGAUAUUCGGAGGAACACCAAUUGCGAAGGCAGCUCACUGGGCCGCUAUCGACGCUGAGGAGCGAAAGCUAGGGGAGCAAACAGGAUUAGAUACCCUGGUAGUCCUAGCUGUAAACGAUGGAUACUAGACGUAGGAACUGGAUUGACGGUUUCUGUGUCGUAGCUAACGCGUUAAGUAUCCCGCCUGGGGAGUACGGUCGCAAGACUAAAACUCAAAGGAAUUGACGGGACCCCGCACAAGCGGCGGAGCAUGCGGCUUAAUUCGAUGAUACCCGUAGAACCUUACCUGGACUUGACAUAUAGGGUCUAGCUAUAGAGAUAUAGUGUGCAUUAGCGCCCUAUACAGGUGGUGCAUGGCUGUCGUCAGCUCGUGUCGUGAGAUGUU
rnacentral:rRNA from 1 species